GAGGUAGGUAUACAUGUUGUACAGGUUCGAGGUAGGUUUACAUGUUGUACAGGUUAGAGGUAGGUAUACAUGUUGUACAGGUUAGAGGUAGGUAUACAUGUUGUACAGGUUCGAGGUAGGUAUACAUGUUGUACAGGUCUGAUACCGUCGUGGUCAUCACUACACUGGAGGCUUGGGUCAGAGGUAGGUAUACAUGCUGGCGGUCUUGAAGAAUGAAUAAUAUGCAAAUUGUGUACACAAAGUUUUAAAAAUGUUGAUAUUGUCUUCCAUUGCUGCUGUUGAUCUAUUCCAAUUAUUCUAAUUUGUAAAAUUCUACAUUUUGUUGUCCAGUGUAGACAAAGAAAUGUAACUAAGACCCUUAUAUCUCCUGUGUGUGUUUAUAAGCUGGCAGCCAUAAAGAGUACAAACUGCUUUAACAGAAACAAUUUAAGGCUGCACCUUCUUAUACAUUUUAAAAGAAAAACUUCACUUCAAAAUAUGUUUUUAAAAUAUUUUCUCAACUUGACACUUGCCCCUCC
rnacentral:lncRNA from 1 species